UGUAUUGAAAACCUAAUUCUCCAUCUCUUCACACAGCUCCGCUUCCUUCUAACCUAAAUCCUUCAGCCGCAUCUAUCUCUCCAUCUGAUCGAUCUGAUCUCUGAAAAUGGUCCAUGAUCUUACUGCUCUUGAUCCUCGGUGUCGAUUUCAGGUAUGCACAGAUGAUGAAGGAGAUGAAGAUGACGACGAUAUUUGCCACCUGCGUCAUUUUAGGAUUUCAUAUUUUCAACUCUUCGCUUUCGUCGUUCUAGGGUUUCAAGUUUGCACCUCUUAUUGGGAUUUCAUUGGUAAUCUUCACAAAAUUGCUUUUUUUAAUGAUCAAGGUUUUUUUUUUGGUUUCGUCUUGAAAGUCAUCAAGUGAUAUAGAAUAACCAAAAUCAAGUGAUAUUGUUAUGGGUUUUCUUCGUUUAUUUUAUGGGCGUGAGAUUGACAGAAAGGAUGUUGUAGGGUUUCCCAUUCGUUUAAGAAUGCCCAUUGAUUAAAUACCCAUGGAGACUGUUGAACAUCGGUAAUGGCCAAAUUAGAAAUACCCAGAUGGGUUUUUGAGGAAAUUGAUCAAAAAUAUAAUCUUGGUUUCGUCAAUUGAAUCUCCAUUUUCAUAUCGAAACCACUUAAAACUGAAACGAGGACAUGGAGCAACCACCGACACCAUAAGAACCAAAUACCAUAUCAUGAUCCUCCUCUCCGUUCAAGAUAAGCAUUCUCUGAUCAUCUUCAAGAUAACUUAUGUUAUUUUAUUCUAAUAUUGGUUUUGAUGUAGGUGGUUGGUCAAUGAAGUACGAGAAACUUAACCUAAGGUCAUUCCUGAAGCAUUAGGAGUUACUAUCACUAAGGAAUACCAUGUCAAUUCUCUUGCCGUUCCUGGAAAAGCCAAAGAAGCUAUCAGAGGCAUUACUUAACUUACUCAUAGAGACGGCCGGAAUAUGGUGAUUGGCGCAAAAUCCAUUCAACUUGAUCCUCUUCUUAGACCAAUAGAUCAUCAUGUCGAUUGUGAAGUAGCAAGAAUUACUACACCACUUUAUUAGAGUAUCCGUGGCAUCAUGUCUUUCUGAAGUAGCAAGAAUUACUACACCAGAACCACCUUAUAGGGAUGAAUCUAUCAAGGAAAUCUUCCAGCUAAAUGUUGGCGUUUGGGUAAUUGUCAAAUGUGACGAGUUAAAGUUAUCAUAAAGCCAUUAAUACUUUGGAGGAUGGUGGAUCAAUGAAGAAGCAAAAAUAUGGUGGAUCCAGAGGUUAUUUGCAGUUGAGACAGUUAGAUGAUUCCUUCCCUUUUUUCCAACUCCAUGUCGCCUGCAAGUCAUAGCCUCCACCUACAACCUUUGAUAUCCUUCCUAUUUGACGGGCACAUAAUCAAAGACAGAGAAAGAAAGCUCUCUUUCUUCCAACUUUUGAUAUCCUGCCUAUUUGCAACAGAAUCCAUGUUCAACGAUAUCUGCUUCUCCAGCGAACUACGCCUCUUCCCUGGUGCACACCAGAAUACCAUAAUCCGCAUCCAUUCUCCCCGUUUAACCUAAUUCAAUAUAUAGCAAACCGAGACUUUUAUGUUGGUGAUGCUGCUGGAAGAAUAGAUUAUCAUAGUGACACGGACAAGAAGUUUGAAGAGACAAUUGGAUUGAAGUUUUAUCUUCCUAAGGAAUACUUUGAUGCUUGAAGAAGGAUUUUACGACGAGCACAAGCCUACAAUUUUGUCUUUAAAUAUUGCGAUUCAACUAAUAUGGGUAUAUAUGUUUAUGAUCUCGUUUGUGUUCAUCCCUCCAAGUUGUUUGACGGAACAGAUCUUCAUCCCACCAACAAAAUAUUUCUUACUUCUCACAGUGAGUUAUCUCCGUUGAGGACUCCAAACGCCUAAAUGCAGUUGAAUCUAGCUUCCAAGACCCUGAAGCCAUUGUGAAAGCAAUCGGGAACGCCACUAAAGUCGUACUCAUAAUUAGUCCAUGUUAAAAUGGUCCAACCACAAAGGUCACCCCAGCAGAAGCCCUACAGUUAAUCCUAGGUAUAGGUAUCUGGACCAAUUCUAGAUGAAAACUAGGUGAGAAGCAUGGUGAAUGAGAUAACAAGGGUGAAGCUUCAACAAGUGUUUUUUAAUUUCUAUCCAUGAACACUUUGCUUUCUGAACACAUAGGCAUGGGUCUGUUUGGGAAGACAGAGUCAAAGAUAAUAGAUAUAACAAGGGCGUGUAUUGAAUUAGUAUUACUUCUAUAUGUUUCGAGGGUUAAUUUAAAAUUUACUUGACAAUACUUCUAUUCAAGUUUUCAUUCAUAGGAAUACCAUGAACCCAAGUGAUUCUCUUUUUUAAACAAGUAAUGUUUUGUUUAGAGUGCAGAUAAAAUUUACUUACGGCAUUAUGACAUUAAAAGACCCGUCCACCGGACAGGUAUAGAAGAUAGGAGAUAGGGAUCAUCGAGCUCGAUGCUGCCACUGAUUCUAUAUACGAUUCGUGAUGUUUUAUCACCAUUCCGGUUUGAUGUUCCACCCGAGACCAAUUAAUCAUCGUCAAAUUCGUUUGAGAUUAUUUCGCUACUGCUAUUUUGAAGAUUAGAGAUUAAUCGAGUAAAAGACAAGAAACAUAUAAAUAUUGGCUAGGAUGAUUCGUGGCGCUACACAGGAAAUUUGGUGGAGUCAGGUAUGUGACUAUUUUUUUUGAACUAUAUAAACAUUAUUAAGGAUUCAUGUUUAUGCUUUUACAAGGCAAUCAUGUAUGGGAAAAUAUAUAACACCUGUUUUUGUUUGUUUUUUUUUGCUCUCACAAAACCUUCUCAUAUUAAGCGUUGGCAAUCAUGCUAAAAAAUCUUUGUCCAAAACAUAUGUGUUUUAGUCUAUUUUUCAAUUCCAAAUAGCCCGAUACGGCGAUACCUGGUAUGAAGAUCAUAUGAAGAGCGCCAAAGAAACCAAAUUUAGCAGGUGCGAGAUGCAAGAAAUUUGUUUGACUAGGGCAAUGUUCACUCUUCUAGGGGUGGAUAUUGAUGAAUACCAGAUGCUGUGUGUUAAGGAAAAGCAAAGAAAGAGUUUGCAUCUGGCAUUUGCAAGAUUUUUGAAAUAACAAAGUGGGUUCAUUGUAUUUUAAUAAUGUGUUUUGAUGGAUUGAAGAUCAAUAUACAUCAAUUGAGUAUGAGUAUGCCGAUGACACACCUUUAGUGAAAUUGAAAAUCAUGCUUUAUCAAGAACAUAAGCAUGACUUAGGGAUUGUCUACAAGUGGUUCGUAUACAAUUCGGCCACCACCUGUAGGUGGAUCCAUUGGUCCUCAAAGGUUUGGAACAAAGUAUUCAAUGUAGUUUUGGGCUGCAGUUACACGACAAGAUGAACAACCAUUCAAGCAACCGGCUUCAAGCAAUCGACAAUAUCGUCUGGUGGGUCUUGCUUCGUUGCCACAAUUAUGUUGUACAUAGAUUCUAACAUAAUUAUGUAUCAAAAGAUCCACAAUUUCGGUAUUUAACCAUUAUGCAACCAAUAAAUUUUUUAUUUAUUCUCAAACUUUCCUUAUGAUUA